AAUCAACGCUGGCGGCGUGCCUCAGACAUGCAAGUCGAACGAGAAAGUCCCCUUCGGGGAUGAGUAAAGUGGCGCACGGGUGAGUAACACGUAGGUAAUCUACCUUCGGGUGGGGAAUAACCCAGGGAAACUUGGGCUAACACCGCAUAAUGCAGCGGCACCACAUGGUGACAGUUGUUAAAGCGGGGGAGUUUUAGGACCUCGCGCCUGAAGAGGAGCCUGCGGCGGAUUAGCUAGUUGGUGAGGUAACGGCUCACCAAGGUCACGAUCCGUAGCCGGCCUGAGAGGGCGGUCGGCCACACUGACACUGACAUACGGGUCAGACUCCUACGGGAGGCAGCAGUCGGGAAUUUUGGGCAAUGGGCGAAAGCCUGACCCAGCAGCGCCGCGUGAAGGAUGAAAUCCCUCGGGA
rnacentral:rRNA from 1 species